rfam:Gossypium arboreum cultivar AKA8401 contig_3984_5, whole genome shotgun sequence.
UAGUAAAAAUUUCAUGUAUUUCUAUUGUUAAAAACCAGCGUUGAUAAUAGAAUAACCAAAAAGUUACACGUAGCAUGUCAGGUGUAUCUCAUUCUGACUUAUAGUGACCAAUUUUUAACAAUAAAAAUAAAUAGAAUUUUUAACA